GCCUGGGUGGCUCAGUCGGUUGAGCGCCAGACUUCAGCUCAGGUCAUGAUCUCACAGUUUGUGGGUUCAAGCCCCGCAUUGGGUU
rnacentral:tRNA from 1 species